rnacentral:rRNA from 1 species
GUGGGGAAUAUUGGACAAUGGGGGCAACCCUGAUCCAGCAAUGCCGCGUGGGUGAAGAAGGUCUUCGGAUUGUAAAGCCCUUUUGGCAGGGACGAUGAUGACGGUACCUGCAGAAUAAGCCCCGGCUAACUUCGUGCCAGCAGCCGCGGUAAUACGAAGGGGGCUAGCGUUGCUCGGAAUGACUGGGCGUAAAGGGCGCGUAGGCGGUUUAUACAGUCAGAUGUGAAAUUCCUGGGCUCAACCUGGGGACUGCAUUUGAUACGUAUGGACUUGAGUGGAGAAGAGGGUCGUGGAAUUUCCAGUGUAGAGGUGAAAUUCGUAGAUAUUGGAAAGAACACCGGUGGCGAAGGCGGCGACCUGGUCUUUAACUGACGCUGAGGCGCGAAAGCGUGGGGAGCAAACAGGAUUAGAUACCCUAGUAGUCC